rnacentral:rRNA from 1 species
AUUGAACGCUGGCGGCAAGCCUAACACAUGCAAGUCGAACGAGUGGCGUACGGGUGAGUAAUUUCUGGGAAACUGCCUGAUGGAGGGGGAUAACUACUGGAAACGGUAGCUAAUACCGCAUACCAUCGGAUGUGCCCCGAUGGGAUUCGCUCGUAGGUGGGGUAAAGGCUCCCCUAGGCGACGAUCCCUAGCUGGUCUGAGAGGAUGACCAGCCACACUGGAACUGAGACACGGUACAGACUCAUACGGGAGGCAGCAGUGGGGAAUAUUGCACAAUGGGCGCAAGCCUGAUGCAGCCAUGCCGCGUGUAUGAAGAAGGCCUUCGGGUUGUAAAGUACUUUCAGCGGGGAGGCGUUAACCGCAGAAGAAGCACCGGCUAACUCCGUGCCAGCAGCCGCGGUAAUUC